rnacentral:lncRNA from 1 species
AGCUUUUCUCUCUCUUGUCUUGUCAAAGUGACCUUGGUGCAAGUUCGCUAUUAUGGACCUUGCAGUGUGAUGACAGGGGCAAAGCCAGCAAAAUCCCCAGCCUGGAAUCUCGGAUAAUUCACGAAGCAGCCCUCAUCCAUCGUGACUGUUAAAGGCUUGACUCGAAUUGGGGCCGGGAUUGGAGACGGCUGGUUACACCGUGUUCCAAGCCAUGAAGACUUCCAGGAAAGGAGCUGGGGCCUCUCCCCUGAGACCGGGUGGUGCGUGGGAGUGAUCACUGAGGGCUUCUUCCGAUGUUCAAGUUGAGGGUGCGAGCAGGCUGCAUCUCCU